GGAUAACUUACCCUUAGGACUGGGAUAACUCUGGGAAACUGGGGAUAAUACUGGAUAUUAGGCUAUGCCUGGAAUGGUUUGCCUUUGAAAUGUUUUUUCGCCUAAGGAUAGGUCUGCGGCUGAUUAGGUCGUUGGUGGGGUAAUGGCCCACCAAGCCGAUGAUCGGUACGGGUUGUGAGAGCAAGGGCCCGGAGAUGGAACCUGAGACAAGGUUCCAGACCCUACGGGGUGCAGCAGGCGCGAAACCUCCGCAAUGUACGAAAGUGCGACGGGGGGAUCCCAAGUGUUAUGCUUUUUUGUAUGACUUUUCAUUAGUGUAAAAAGCUUUUAGAAUAAGAGCUGGGCAAGACCGGUGCCAGCCGCCGCGGUAACACCGGCAGCUCGAGUGGUAGCUGUUUUUAUUGGGCCUAAAGCGUUCGUAGCCGGUUUGAUAAGUCUUUGGUGAAAGCUUGUAGCUUAACUAUAAGAAUUGCUGGAGAUACUAUUAGACUUGAAGUCGGGAGAGGUUAGAGGUACUACCGGGGUAGGGGUGAAAUCCUAUAAUCCUGGGAGGACCACCUGUGGCGAAGGCGUCUAACUGGAACGAUCUUGACGGUGAGUAACGAAAGCCAGGGGCGCGAACCGGAUUAGAUACCCGGGUAGUCCUGGCCGUAAACGAUGUGGACUUGGUGUUGGAAUGGCUUUGAGUU
rnacentral:rRNA from 1 species